rnacentral:snRNA from 1 species
AUACCUUUCUCGGCCUUUUGGCUAAGAUCAAGUGUAGUAUCUGUUCUUAUCAGUUUAAUAUCUGAUAGGUGGGUGAUUCGCCCACAUGAUAUUAAAUUAAUUUUUUAAGGGGGAGAGCCCAUCACGAUAGCUUGCUAUUGGGGCUCUCGAGCGUCGCCCAUGCGUUGCACUAUUGCACGGGCCUGGCGCACCCCAU